UCUAAGAACAUAUGUGUACACAUGAAUCUGCGAACGGCUCAUUAUUAACACCCGUAAUCUACCCAGUUUUCAUAUCCAAAACGGAUAUCUGCGUUAAUUUUGGAGCUAAUACGUGCACCAACGUACCGCUAGCAAUAGUGGUAUGCACUUGUUAGUUUAAGACCGACUGGGGCAACCCGACUGGUGACUCUGAACAAUUUCUGCGGAUCGCAUGGUCUUGUACCGGCGACGUACUGGUCGAGCGGGUGCCCUAUCAACUAUUGAUGGAAGUCUAUGUGUCUUCCAUGGUUGUAACGGGUAACGGAGAAUCAGGGUUCGACUCCGGAGAGCUAGCCUUAGAAACGGCUAUCACAUCCAAGGAAGGCAGCAGGCGCGUAAAUUACCCACUCUCAAUUCGAGGAGGUAGUGACUAUCAAUAACGAGACAGAUCUCUUUGAGGUCUGUCAUUGAAAUGAGCACAACUUAAAGACUU
rnacentral:rRNA from 1 species